rnacentral:rRNA from 1 species
GGCAAGCUAGAGUGCGGUAGGGGAGAUUGGAAUUCCUGGUGUAGCGGUGGAAUGCGCAGAUAUCAGGAGGAACACCGAUGGCGAAGGCAGAUCUCUGGGCCGUAACUGACGCUGAGGAGCGAAAGCAUGGGGAGCGAACAGGAUUAGAUACCCUGGUAGUCCAUGCCGUAAACGUUGGGAACUAGAUGUAGGGCCUGUUCCACGGGUUCUGUGUCGUAGCUAACGCAUUAAGUUCCCCGCCUGGGGAGUACGGCCGCAAGGCUAAAACUCAAAGGAAUUGACGGGGGCCCGCACAAGCGGCGGAGCAUGCGGAUUAAUUCGAUGCAACGCGAAGAACCUUACCAAGGCUUGACAUAUACGAGAACGGGCGAGAGAUCGUCAACUCUUUGGACACUCGUAAACAGGUGGUGCAUG